AUUGAACGCUGGCGGCAGGCCUAACACAUGCAAGUCGAACGAGUGGCGGACGGGUGAGUAAUGUCUGGGAAACUGCCUGAUGGAGGGGGAUAAAUACUGGAAACGGUAGCUAAUACCGCAUACCAUCAGAUGUGCCCAGAUGGGAUUAGCUGGUUGGUGGGGUAACGGCUCACCAAGGCGACGAUCCCUAGCUGGUCUGCGAGGAUGACCAGCUACACUGGAACGUAUACACGUUCCAGAAUACGACGGGAGGCAGCAGUGGGGAAUAUUGGACAAUGGGCGCAAUCCUGAUGCAGCCAUGCCGCGUGUAUGAAGAAGGCAUUCGGGUUGUAAAGGACUUUCAGCGGGGAGGCGUUACCCGCAGAAGAAGCACCGGCUAACUCCGUGCCAGCAGCCGCGGUAAUUG
rnacentral:rRNA from 1 species